GACGAACGCUGGCGGCGUGCCUAAUACAUGCAAGUCGAGCGCAGGAAGCCGUUCUGAACCCUUCGGGGGGACGACGGUGGAAUGAGCGGCGGACGGGUGAGUAACACGUAAAGAACCUGCCCAUAGGUCUGGGAUAACCACGAGAAAUCGGGGCUAAUACCGGAUGUGUCAUCGGACCGCAUGGUCCGCUGAUGAAAGGCGCUCCGGCGUCGCCCAUGGAUGGCUUUGCGGUGCAUUAGCUAGUUGGUGGGGUAAUGGCCCACCAAGGCGACGAUGCAUAGCCGACCUGAGAGGGUGAUCGGCCACACUGGGACUGAGACACGGCCCAGACUCCUACGGGAGGCAGCAGUAGGGAAUCUUCCACAAUGGACGAAAGUCUGAUGGAGCAACGCCGCGUGAACGAUGAAGGCUUUCGGGUCGUAAAGUUCUGUUGUAAGGGAAGAACAAGUGCCGCAGGCAAUGGCGGCACCUUGACGGUACCUUGCGAGAAAGCCCCGGCUAACUUCGUGCCAGCAGCCGCCGUAAAAC
rnacentral:rRNA from 1 species